AUUGAACGCUGGCGGCGUGCUUAACACAUGCAAGUCGAACGGUGAAGCAGGAGCUUGCUCCUGUGGAUCAGUGGCGAACGGGUGAGUAACACGUGAGCAAUCUGCCCUGGACUCUGGGAUAAGCGUUGGAAACGACGUCUAAUACCGGAUACGAGGCGUGGGGGCAUCCCCAACGCCUGGAAAGAACUUCGGUCCAGGAUGAGCUCGCGGCCUAUCAGGUAGUUGGUGAGGUAACGGCUCACCAAGCCUACGACGGGUAGCCGGCCUGAGAGGGGACCCGGCAAAACUGGGACUGGGACACGGCCCAGACUCCUAGGGGGGGAAGCGGGGGGGAAAAUUGCACAAGGGGGGAAAGCCUGAGGCGCAAAGGCCGCGGGAGGAACGACGGCUUUGGGGUUGUAAACCUCUUUAGCAGGGAAGAAGCGAAAGUGACGGUACCUGCAGAAAAAGCACCGGCUAACUACGUGCCAGCCGCCGCCGUAAAAC
rnacentral:rRNA from 1 species